rnacentral:rRNA from 1 species
GUCUACGGCAGUACCACCCUAAACGCGCCCGAUCUCGUCUGAUCUUGGAAGCUAAGCAGGGUCAGGCCUGGUUAGUACUUGGAUGGGAAACACUGUGCACAUGCUCUUCAGCCCACCCUGGUGGGCCCUGCACA